rnacentral:rRNA from 1 species
UACGUAGGGUGCAAACGUUGUCCGGAAUUACUGGGCGUAAAGGGUUCGUAGGCGGCCAACUAAGUCAGACGUGAAAUCCCUCAGCUUAACUGGAGAACUGCGUCUGAUACUGGAUGGCUUGAGUGUAGGAGAGGAAUGCGGAAUUCCAGGUGUAGCGGUGAAAUGCGUAGAUAUCUGGAGGAACACCGGUGGCGAAGGCGGCAUCCUGGACCGGCAUUGACGCUGAGGCGCGAAAGCUAGGGGAGCAAACGGG